ACGAACGCUGGCGGCGUGCUUCACCCAUGCCAGUCGAACGGAAAGGCCCCUUUGGGGGUCCUCGAGUGGCGAACGGGUGAGUAACACGUGAGUAACCUGCCCUUGACUUCGGGAUAACUUCAGGAAACUGGGGCUAAUACCGGAUAGGAAUCCUUGCUGCAUGGUGGGGGUUGGAAAGCUUCGGCGGUUUUGGAUGGACUCGCGGCUUAUCAGCUUGUUGGUGGGGUAGUGGCUUACCAAGGCUUUGACGGGUAGCCGGCCUGAGAGGGCGACCGGCCACAUUGGGACUGAGAGACGGCCCAGACUCCUACGGGAGGCAGCAGUGGGGAAUAUUGCACAAGGGGCGGAAGCCUGAUGCAGCAACGCCGCGUGCGGGAUGACGGCCUUCGGGUUGUAAACCGCUUUCAGCAGGGGCGAAGCUUGUGGUGACGGUACCUGCAGAAGAAGCACCGGCUAACUACGUG
rnacentral:rRNA from 1 species